UAAAGAUCUGAAGAACGAUGCAGACGUAGCCACAUUUCCUCUCGACAGUAACAGUGCUCUGAGGGUUUGGGUCAACUCUGGCCGUGGCGGUCCAUUCUCUGAGAGGAUCCGUGGAGGGACUGGAGACCUGUGGAGUCUCGUUGCUUUCUCUUUCAGUUGGCUGUUGAGUCCCAGAUGAUGUAGUCACCACUGGAGGUGCUCCUGUCUGGAUCUGAGAGAGAGUAGAGAAGAGACACCACAAACAACAAAUUGAAAACACAAGAAGAUAAGUGUGACAUUCUCAGAACAGAUGGUUCAAGAAAACAUCAUUUCCAAACCUGGACAUUUUUCUGAAACCCAUCAGAAUCACCAGUGAUGCUUUCAGGGUUUUCCUGCUCUGGCUGCAAAUUGACUAAUGCUCUGUCUUCAUCAUGCAUCACUUCCCCUAUCAUGUCAGGGUUCCUGACACGCUCCGUCACCUGGAAAGGGAAACAAAAGCCAGAAGAUAAUGAACAUUUGAGUGGAAGAAAUGAGUCAACGAGCGAGCAAUUAUAUUCAAAUCGCAGUGAAAUAUAAAACAAUUCUUUUCCCUCUUUUGACUAUUUAUCACACACCUGUCCUAAUCCUAAAGCAUGAAUAAAAAGACAUGUUGAAAUGACA